CACGGGGGGAGCAAGCGUUGUUCGGAAUCACUGGGCGUAAAGGGCGUGUAGGCGGUCAGGUAAGUGGGAUGUGAAAGCCCUCGGCUCACCCGAGGAUCUGCAUCUCAAACUGCCUGGCUUGAGUAUGGGAGAGGAUGAGGGAAUUCCUGGUGUAGCGGUGAAAUGCGUAGAUAUCGAGAGGAACACCUGCGGCGAAGGCGGGUUGCUGGGCUGACACUGACGCUGAGGAGCGAAAGCGUGGGGAGCGAACAGG
rnacentral:rRNA from 1 species